GCAGUGAUCCUAGAAGAGCACGGAGUUCGUGCCGAAGCAGAGAUGAGGCUUCGAUGCAGGUAAGGGAUAGCCCAAUGUGGAGGUGGCCUUGCAAGUUGGUAAAUAUGCUUGAUAAUGUUUUUAUGUUGCAUUGGCAUGUAGUGGUUAUAUCUUGUGUGAUGCAAGACCUAGUGGACCAAUGGCCAUAUGGAGGACUAGUGUGGUGGGGGCUGAUAGGUUGAUGCCUCAAACCUUAGUGGGUUGUGAGGAUGUGUGGGCCUAGCCUCAUUUGCAUGCAUUGGGCAUACAUAAACAUCUUUAUAUUCAUAUUUACAUGCAUUGAACCCUUACUGAGUCUUUAUGACUCAUGAGGUUUUACCUCAUGUGUAGAUAAUACAAGUCCAGAUGCAAGCAGGGAUGGUGCCAGGAGGCUGUUGUGGCAAUUAGCUUGUUACCUGAGAUGUGUUGUUGUGUAAUCUCUUGUAAUUUUUAUAUGUAAUCAUGUAAUCGAAUGUAAACGAUAUUGAGCAAUAGAUGUAUUUAAUGGUUGAAAUCAUCGUAGUGUGAUAAAUGAUUGUGAGAUUGUUCGUGGUAUAUGGCUUAGUUGGAGAAGCUGAGUUUCGGAUCGAGUAAAAAUCAUCGAGGUAUGUUCUCAUGAAUCCCCAAUACUCAGCGAAAUGUUUAUUAUGCUAGCUUUGUGCCUAGGUCACCUCUGGCUUGCUAUGGGGCUAGCUGAAGAGAGGUGAAGCUCACUCGGGUUUCGGGUCUCGGUCCGCUGAGUUUUUCCUUGUUUGUGUUGAGACCGAUUCUUGAGUGGAGCAAAGGGAAGGAUGAAGCCUAGUUCCCACCUAGGGCGUUUCCUGUUGAAACAUAGUCCAACCCUUCAGUUGUGGUUGAUAGGUGAGUAAUCUGGUCGAUUAUUUACCGGUGGCGCUCGUAAGUGGGAGAGGGUCGUUACAACUAGACGCAUCCAAAUACGGCUUAAGGCAUCCGGAUAUCACUCACAAAACUUAUUGGACUCAUUCGGAUACGAGUCAAGGCAUCUUGAUAUUACUUAAAAUAAACAUUGGACACAUCCGGAUACGAUACAAAGCAUCUGGAUAUUACAAGGGUUAUCCGGGUACGAAUAAGGGCCAUACGGAUACCACUCACAGAGAUCGAACAAGCUAUCCGAAUAUGCGUAUAGGUCAUCCAGAUAUAACAAGAGCCAUUCGGAUACGCAUUGUGCCAUCCGGAUGUCACUUACAUAAAUCUUUUUCAACCAUCCAGAUGUGCACUGAUCCAUCCGGAUGCUACUCACAAUCUUUGAACAACCUAUCUGGAUAUUGGGAAACUCAUCCUAAUGUUUGCAUAUUAAUAACAUAGAUACGAACAAUUACAGAGAUCAUUUUCUGAUGCAACUUGUAACAAAUCUACAUCAUUUCGAAAGAAAACUUGGGAAAACAAAUCCCAAAUGACAUGAAACAAUCACGGAGAUGAUUCAAAGAUCAUAUUAGAAGAAAUCGCUAUAAAGAAACAUGCAUGACUUUGACAAAAACUCACUGUAAGUAUAUAUAUAUAUACAUCUCUAUAACUAAUAUAACUCUAAAAAUAUGAGAACAAAAACUUAAUCAAAAAAUCUGUAAGAAAGGUUUACAGGGGAAAGAUACUUGGCUUACGAUCUUCUUGAUCAACUCAACGUUUCAACAUAAAUCUCCUAUGCAAGACACUGUUGCAACUCACAAUCUUCCUUCUCCCUCUACAGUGUGUAGUACCCAGUAUUACAUGGUAUUGAAAAAUAAAUAAAUUUUGAUUAUUUGAAGGGACCUCGGGUGGUCCGGGAAGCCGAAAGUCGGUUUUGAGAAAUUAAUUAAUGAAAUUUAUCGAGUUGGUGGUAGGGAGUGCCUUGGGACUUGGAUGUCCAGGGAAGAGGGCAAGAGAUUGGUGAGCGUCUCGAAGUGAGGCUUAUGGCGCUAGAAGCAGUCCAAACGGGAAUAAUUUUUGAAAUAAAUUAUGUAUAAACCCGAGUGGGGUGCUAGUACUAAAUGGUUACAAGGGACCUCCUGGAAGCUGAGGGGACCCUAGGGGUGGUUCGAUUUUCUGAGUAAGGCAACUCUUGAGUGUUUUCGGGUCAAAUAAAUGUCCCGUGUAGGCGUAGGGACAAAAUUGAUAUCCCAGAGUAAGUGUCGGUUAUUAAUUUUUGGGAAAAUCAAGUCUUGAUGUUAAUAAUUUAAAGCUUGGAGGGACCAAGUGUAAUUAAUAGAUCUCCAAGUGCAAUUAGUGAAACCCUUAAGCGAUAUUAUUAAAAAAUUAAAGGGUUAAAUGUAUGAAAAUCAUAUAUAGAUAUUUAUAUAGUGUGGGCGAGGGAAGCUUCCAGGAAGCCUCAUAUGUCUCUACCAUUUUGAAAUGGCCGAGAGGAAGGAACCAGAGAGUGAGGAAGAGAGAGCUCGCGUGAGAUAAAGAGAGAGAGCAUUGCCGAGAGAAAGGGAGUCGAGCCAAGAGCAGUCGAGAGUGAGAGAUAGAGUGUGAGGGAGAGCUUGAAGCCCAACUGGUCAUGGCAGUCGCUGCCAUGGCCGACGAUGAUGAGAAGGAACCAAGGCGGUUCUACGUCGUGCAAGGGUGGUCGACCAAUGGCUAGCAACAGCUGGAAGCUGCUAGAGGUGGCAGCGAGCGGCGUCAGAGGCUAUCUUGGCCGAUCGACGAUGCUGGUUUCGCUGUGGGCAGGGGAGGUUGGCCAUGGCGAUUGCAGCGGCUGAGGCGCACGAGGAGGCUGGAAGGAGGCAGGCGGUGGUUGCGGUGACUCGGAGGUGAAGCUCGCGGCCAGAAUGGCCGUGCGUAGCAGCGGCUCUGUGCGUUUGGGCCGGUGAUGGCUGGAGGCUCGGGAGGUCGCGGUGGUGGCUGUGGUGGAGGCCGCCCUACGCGACUGAGUUGGGGCAUUGAUGGCGUUGUGAGCAACGGUGUUGGCCGAUGGUGGCGACCGAAGAGGCCAGUAACGAUGGUGGCCAGCGUGCUGGUGUUGUGCGCGCAAGCUCGGUGAAGAAGAAGAAGGAGGAGGAGCGUGCACAGGAAAUGUUGGAGGAAGAAGAACAGUAGAAGAGGAAAGAAAAUAAAAGAAAAAGGAAAAGAAAAGAAAAUGAAAGAAAAUCUAAAAAAUUUAGGAAAAACAAGGAAAAAUUCUAGAAAAAUUGGAGAAUAGUCUGGAAAUUAUUUUGAAACUCGAGAAGCGUGCCAGAGGCUUGAAAUCGAAGAUUUGGGCAUGAGAUGUCAAUUAAGGAGGCAACGCUGGUGUGGGCGAUUGGCCGAGUUUCUUUUCCAGAUUGACUAAGGUAAGUUAAUUAAUUCUUUUCAGAAUAUUUCCUUUAUGUGAGAUAUUAAACUAUGUAGUGUUGAUUGGAUUGAACCCUCGGGUGGGGUUUAUUAGGAGUGUUGUUGGGCGAUGUUUGCGAUGUGUGGCGAAGUUGAGGGCAUUGGUUUAAUGCCGAAUGUUAAUGGAGUUGGGUUUGUGUGUGUUUGCAUCUAGGUUCAUCUGGGGAGGCGGUGAUCCUAGAAGAGCUCAGAGUUUGGGCUGACAUUCUUACCCGAGGCAGGAAUGAAGCUUCAAUCCAGAUAAUACGAGUCUAGAUGCAAGCAGGGAUGGUGCUGGGAGGCUGUUGUGGUAAUUAUCAUUGUUUCCUGAGAUGUGUUGUUGUGUAUUUUCAUAUAUGUAUUUAUGUAAUUGAAUGUAAGCGAUAUUGAGCACUAGAGGUGUCUAGUUGUUGUAAUCAUAAUAGUGUGAUAGAUGAUUGUGAGUUUGCGUGAUGUAUAUGUGGCUUUAGUUGUUGAAGCCAAAUUUAGACCGAGUAAUGAUCAACGAGGUAUGUUUUCAUAAAUCCCCAAUACUUAGCGAAGUGUUUGUUAUACUAACUUUGUGCCCGGGUCACCUUUGGCUUGCUAUGAGGCGAACUGAAGAGAGGUGAAGCUCACUCGGGUUUAUGGUCUCGGUCCGCUGUGCUUUCUUGUUUGUGUUGGAUCGAUUCCUGAGUGGAGCGAAUGAAAGGGCAAAACCUAGUUCACACCUAGGGCGUUUCCCCUUAAAACAUAGUCCAACCCUUCAGUUGUGGUUUGUUGGGUGAGUAAUCCGGUUGAUUAUUUACCGGCGACGCCCAUAAGUGGGAGCGGGUCAUUACACGGUGUGAGAAAAUAUACACUCUAUGAACAUAUGUAUAAGAAGCAACCCUAGAAGCCCAUAUCCUUAUCUCCUUAUAUAACUUGAAGAACUUCCAAUUCCUAUUCACGCACGGAUCUACCCAUCCAUAAUAUCUCUAAUUAAAUAAUUUCUAAUAAUAUGAAAUUAUUAUUUACAUUCUUGCCCUUGAUUAUUUUUCACAUAAUCUAACUGCAAUUAAAUGUUAUUCUCCUAUUUAAAAAAUUGCUAAAUUGCCAUUUUAAAUAAAAUAUAACCCCUCUAACGGGUCGUUACACCCCAUGCCCUGGAGCCUAUGUUGGGCCUUACGGCGACCCUCUCUAAAGGUGGUAGGUGGUUGGCGAGCGAUCGAAGUGGUGGUCAACGCCUGGCUAUGGCUAUUUUUAAAAAAUUAGACUUUAACCCCUCCAAACUUUAAAAUUAUACAUUUGAGCCAUUCCAUGCAAUCCUUUGAGUUUCUAAAAAUUCCACAAUGAACCCCUAAAUUUUCUCCUUUACAUUUUAUCCCUUAAGUUUCGUUUUACUACUUUUGGCCAAGUUUCAUAAAUUACACUUAGGCCCAAAUAUAUGCAAAAUCACUUUUUUUUUUAUCACGAAUUUGUUUGUUUCAUCCUGAAACUACUUCAGGGUUAUUCCUUAUGCAAAACUUGAAUCCUCUCGGGGUUUUGUUGACUUUUUAAAAGUCUCUUACGACCAUUCGAUUUUUUAGCUUGAUCAUAGUUAUACUGAAAAUUAUCUCUAUUCCAAUUUCUUUCAGUGCCAUAAAUCUUGUUUUGAGACACUCGUCAAUCCCAUUUCCUUUUUUGAAGGUAUUUAAGUUUCAAAAUAUUCUCUGUAAUUGAUUUAGUCACUCAUAACUCCGAGAAAUUACACUAUAACCAUAAAACUUUUAAAAAUUCUUUUUUUUGCCCAAGACAAAUUAUUCCUAAAUCUUUUAAAAAAUUUUGGGUAAUACAUUGUUAGCUAGGGAGCUUCUCCCUUUCAAUAUGCAAAGUAAAAAAAUAUAAAAAAAUAAUUGUUGCAUCUUAAAAGAUAAAUUUAAUGUACUAAAACCUUACAUAUUUAUAAUGCCGUCAUAUGUUUUACUUUGGGGAUUGGGCCCUGGACUGGUCGAUCAGAAUUAAUAUUUAUGCGAAACUUAAAGUAGUAACCCCUCUUCAUGUGGAAAAAAAAAAUCUUCAUAAACUCAAUGUAAUAGUACCUAAAUAGAGAUAAAACUUAAUUAUGAGGAAUAUUCUACAAGUCACCUUAUGUUAGUUUCAUGUCAACUUCUAAAACACGAUUUACACGUUAGGCAUCACUUUCAUACUAAGAACAACAAAGCGUGUCUAUGUUUUCACCAUAACAGAAUCCUAUUUCCUUAUGAGAAGUCGUGAGAGAAAUGUGAAAAAAUGGAGAGGAUAUGAUGGCGGAAUAUCUAUAUUAAUUUCAGUUUUCAAAUCCAAGUGAAGCCAAAUGCAAGGCCUAUUGUUUCGUAUCCACAAUCAUGAACAAGUACGCUAGCUUCUGCGGCAUAAAAACUCGUGGCGCCUUCACAGACCGCUUAUGUUUUAGAAAUAAAAAUUCAUUAAUUACGGGGUUGACCGUAAUCGAUAAAUUUGAAGUAGAAUUAAUUGCAAUUUGACCCGCUAAACCUGUUGGUAAUUAUUGCCGACGACAAGGCAUACCACCCACCAAACAUACAAGCCAGGUCCAGUUCUACCUCCCAUGAUAAACACCUCCCCAUAUAUGUGCGUGCACAUGUAUGUGUGUGUCGAAUCAACCAAGUAGCGUGCCUAACUAAAAUAUUUCUUUAAACCACAAAUUCAGUCAGUCGUCAGACGAAAGCGACACCUUAACAUAUAUAUUUUUAUAUAUACAUCUAAUCGGAUAUGAACGGACCAAGAAAUAAAAAGUGUUAAAUCAAUGGGCGGUGUUUAAAAGAGGGACGCAAUGAUUUUUCUUUGUUUAUGGAUGUCAUCGUUCCCAGUAACACCUUGGAUAGAAAGGCACGUUUUACGGAAGCCCAAUGAGACAGUUGCUUUCGAGGAUAUAGCAAAAUCCUAAACUAUGGUCAGAGGGGCGACUCCUAAUUCCCCAGCCAUACCCAUCUCUCUCUUCCUCGAAUCUACUUAAACUAGAUCGACAUGUCUGCUUUAGGAUGGAUCAUGCUUUAUUGAUCGCAGCUCAGGUAAAAUUAAUUUGAUGGGAUUAAGGCUGGCAUAUGACAAGGAAGACAGAGAUGGAAUGGGACGCGAGUACAGAUACCGGGACAUUGUGAAGACAUGCAUGGGGUGCUUGGUUUCACUGCUGACAAGCAUGAUGGGGGGAUUGAUCUUAGCUUGGUGGGAAUGGAAUUACCAUCCCACAAAUAGCCAGCUGUGGAUGGUGCCUUCGGGUCUCAUUCUUCUAGUGACGCCUCUCACCGUCUCCUUCUCGGCCUGCCUUUCCGACUGCUUCAGUCCCAAAGAAUCGGCCGCUUCAAGUCUCAAGGAACCUGUCAUGUCUUUGGAUAACACAUGAUCCAUGUAUACAUACAAGAUCCAGCCUUGAUGAUUUUCCUUCUUCUUGUAAUUUCUCUCGCAUCUCCCUCUUGCUCAUUUCUAUCUGUGAUCCAUGGAUCGUUGUGGCAGCAGGAUUUCUAUAUUGAAACUAAGGGCGUUGACUUUGAGACAAAUUAAUUAAGCUGGAUCUUGAGACAAGCAAGGCAAAUAGAAAAUUUUUAUGCAGAUGUUUUUACGUAAUGUAUAUAUAGAACAUUAGUUUUCCUUUCUUUCAAUUUUCCCUUCUGUAGUUAAAUAAAUCAGCAUAAUAUAUACAUCCAAAGACAAAAACGAAAACUACGGUGGUGGGAUCCUAGCAGUUGGGAAAGCACUGCAGUUGCUGGUGUAGAGAGAUUAAAUCAUAUAGUAUCCUCAAAUAUGAUCUACUUGUAAUAAUAGACUUAAUAAUACAUAGCAA